GGCGAGACUAGUCGCCGCGGAGGGGGCGAGACCAGUAGCCGUGGAGGACACCAGACCAGUAGCCGCGGAGGAACAAGAACAUGUUUAGGUGCAUCCUUAUGUAGCUACUUACUGGGAACAAGAACUUUGGUAUCAAGAACGAGAAGCUAUAAUGGUUUCUGGAUGAGGGAGGUGAAUGCACAUCCCGAACUGCUAAAGCUUGUUGGGACUCAUUGCCAUCUAAGCUCAACCAUUACAAAGGUGUAUCUACGUAACAUGCAGAAUGGUUUAAGGUUUUCUCAUUCGCCAGAUCUUGAUUGAGGUAGUAGUUGUUCAAUUCAUCCCAUGUUUGGUCGGUUAGUGUUUGAGGUUUCCUAAUUUUUUGAACCAUGUCUGGACAUGGGCUACUAUAGCAAUAUGUCUUUGAUCCUUUAAUUUUAUCCUAAAACCAAAGAGCUAUGAUAAGAGAUCCUGAAAGCACGAUACUAUUGCAGGUCUUUAUGAAAGACAAGGAUCCUGACUUGGCAGCCUUCAUGUCUUCUUCUCCACUCCAGCAACCACCAGUCAUCAUACCAGCCAGCACACAA